AGAGAAGACAUGCGCGCAUAUCAAUAAGCGGAGGAAAAGAAACUAACUAGGAUUCCCUUAGUAACGGCGAGUGAAGCGGGAAGAGCUCAAAUUUGAAAUCUUCAAGGUUCUACCUUGACGAAUUGUAGUUUAAAGAAGUGUUUUCUGCUGGAGUUUUGGUAAAAGUUCUUUGGAAUAGGACAUCAUAGAGGGUGAGAAUCCCGUAUUUGACCAUUAUUUUCAGCUUUGUGAUACACUUUCAAAGAGUCGGAUUGUUUGGGAAUGCAGUCCAAAAUGGGUGGUAAAUUUCAUCUAAAGCUAAAUAUUGGCGAGAGACCGAUAGCGAACAAGUACCGUGAGGGAAAGAUGAAAAGAACUUUGAAAAGAGAGUUAAACAGUACGUGAAAUUGUCAAAAGGGAAGCGUUUGACACCAGUGUUGUUUUCUCGAAAAUCAAUUAAAAAUGGCUCGAUUUUGUAUUGCUGAGACCUUAAAAGCUCACUGUACAUUUUUCGUGUCUUUUUUAAUGCACUUUUCGUUUAACAAGUCAACAUCAGUUUCUUUUGUUGUAAAAGGGUCAUUGGAAGGUGGCUUUCUUUUCGGAGAAAGUGUUUAUAGCCUUUGGCCUCUGCAAUCGAAGAGACUGAGGUCUGCAGCGUAGACUCAUCGGGGUUAGAUACAUUUGUGCUAAGUUAUAGCCUUUUAUAGACAACUUGUUGACUAUGAUUAGUCAUUGUAGCUUACUCGCUUAUGCUAUUUUACCUACGCUUAGGAUGUUGAAGAUGUAGCACAUCAU
rnacentral:rRNA from 1 species